rnacentral:rRNA from 1 species
AUUGAACGCUGGCGGCAGGCCUAACACAUGCAAGUCGAGCGGCAGCGGGAAAGUAGCUUGCUACUUUUGCCGGCGAGCGGCGGACGGGUGAGUAAUGCCUGGGGAUCUGCCCAGUCGAGGGGGAUAACUACUGGAAACGGUAGCUAAUACCGCAUACGCCCUACGGGGGAAAGCAGGGGACCUUCGGGCCUUGCGCGAUUGGAUGAACCCAGGUGGGAUUAGCUAGUUGGUGAGGUAAUGGCUCACCAAGGCGACGAUCCCUAGCUGGUCUGAGAGGAUGAUCAGCCACACUGGAACUGAGACACGGUCCAGACUCCUACGGGAGGCAGCAGUGGGGAAUAUUGCACAAUGGGGGAAACCCUGAUGCAGCCAUGCCGCGUGUGUGAAGAAGGCCUUCGGGUUGUAAAGCACUUUCAGCGAGGAGGAAAGGUUGGUAGCUAAUAACUGCCAGCUGUGACGUUACUCGCAGAAGAAGCACCGGCUAACUCCGUGCCAGCAGCCGCGGUAA